rnacentral:rRNA from 1 species
UACGUAGGGUCCGAGCGUUGUCCGGAAUUAUUGGGCGUAAAGAGCUCGUAGGCGGUCUGUUGCGUCGGCUGUGAAAACCCGGGGCUCAACUCCGGGCCUGCAGUCGAUACGGGCAGACUAGAGUUCGGUAGGGGAGACUGGAAUUCCUGGUGUAGCGGUGAAAUGCGCAGAUAUCAGGAGGAACACCGGUGGCGAAGGCGGGUCUCUGGGCCGAUACUGACGCUGAGGAGCGAAAGCGUGGGGAGCGAACAGG